ensembl:lincRNA
GACUGAGCCAUCUAGGUGCCCCCCCAAAGAGACAGGAAAAUGUGGUGAAAGGAAACAUAACAAUAUUGUGUAUCCCCACCUCCUGCCUUCUAACAGGUGAGCUCUUACGAUGCCCAUUCUAUAGACAAGGCCAAUAAAGUGGAACAGGAACCCUAUCAAAAAAGAAGGCAAGAGGCAAUGCUAACAAUAGAAGCUAUUUAAGAGGGAAUAGCACGAGAUGUCGAAAAGAUGGUGAACACUGUUUUUCUUUGCUGAUACCCAAAAAGUAACCAGAAAGAGCUUAUCCCUUUCCCCCCCUCCUCUUGAGUUGUGCUGCUAUCCUGUGAGAAGUGUGGGGGAGAGCAAAGUGGUAUUCCCCGAGGACGGGCUUUCCUAGCCUCCUCCAGAGCAGUCCAGGUUUGUGAAUCAAGGCCGGGGGUGGGCCCAGCAGUUUUCCUUUCCCCACGCAGGCCAUGAUUAAGAAGGCAUCUGUCAACAGAGACUUUCAGCUGUAUUUCCAGCCCAGCUUCCUCCCAACUGACUCAGCCAGUGAUGCCACAAUCUAAUGUUUAUGACCUAACAGUCGAUCACCAUGGAAGGAGCACAAACCUUAGACUGUUGAGGAGUAAAUCCAGUGUUGAGAUGCUGGACGGUUUCGGAAGAGGCCAAAGAAGACCCUUAUUCAUCAAGACCACAUGUGAGGACCGAACACCAUAUUCCUCAUGUGGGCACUUCCACUGCUUGCUAAAACUGCCAUGUGGAUGUCUUCGUGCCUAUUGGAGGAACCAAAAUAAGGACUUCGGGUGACCGAGUACAAACAAAUGCCCUGGCAUUUAGAAACGAAGAACAAGAAGCCGAAGGGAAAAUGUCUCAUGCCUAUUAACAGUAUGAUCAUAUUCAGCAGUCCUGGAUAUUCUGAUGUAUCUACUUUCAAGCUUCUUGCAAAGAUAUUCCCCACGUCUGAAUAAUGGAGCUUCCCAUGCAACUGAAGAGCCUGAGGCAGGAGGAGGACACAAGUAGUGAUACAUGGCGGCACAUGAGUCUGUGGGCUUUCAGCUUCAGCAUCUUAAAAAACAUGGGGAAAUAUUUCAAAGAAAUUUUGUUGCCUUCUGGAAGAGGCCCACUUCUAAUUGUUCUCAAGUUUCCCAAGCCUGAGCCCUGGGAGAUGCUGAGGACACUUAAUACCUUCGUUCCCCAGGAAGAGAAAGCACCAGAGUGUGGAAGAAAGGGUUUGGGCUUCAUGCAUAGGCCUCCAGUGAGAAGGGGACUUAAGUCUUGGAGCAUUUUGCCAGCUUGCUUCUCUGAUAAGAACUCAGAAAUUCCACUCUGCCUCCCGCAUCCCGUUCGGUCACAAGAGAUAAUGGCUGCAUUGACAAGAAGUAUUUCCAGUUCCUGUCAAGGGUCAUUUCUGAAAGAAAGCUGAAGCAAAAGCCUCACACUAUUAUUUUUACUUUAAAACAUUUAAAAAAUAAAUGUCUAGUUAUUGGCCUCCAGGGUCUUCUUGUUUCUGCAAAUGAAAACCAUGGGAGGAAGUAGUUUUAUGCUGGUGAAGCAUCGGGUUGGUCAGAUUAAUAGGGACCAAAGACAAGAGCCCAAACCUGAAUAUAAGCCUUCUGCAGCUACAAGUCAGACACAGGCUUUUCUCCCAUUUGACCCUGCUUAAUGGCCUUCUGGGAUCAAUAAUGGGAAACUAACACUCACUUAAGACAAAUCUGGUUACUGCUUUCCUUUUGAGAAGAGUCAGAGAUCUACGUCUUACAACAUACGCAUUAAUAGCAAGCACUGUUUGGUUUAUUAACUCUGUUCUAGGCACAAUGCCAACUGUUUUCUAUACAGUUGACCUUUAAACAAUGUGUGGGUUAGGAGUGCUGACCUCCCCCGGCAGCUGGAAAUCCUCCUUAACUUAUGACUCCUCCCAAAGUUAACGACUAAUAGUCUACUACUGCCUGG